GACGAACGCUGGCGGCGUGCUUAACACAUGCAAGUCGAACGGUAACGCCCCUUCCUUUUUGGUGGGUGUGGGUGAGUGGCGAACGGGUGCGUAACACGUGAGUAUCCUGCCCCCUUCUUCUGGAUAACCGCAUGAAAGUGUGGCUAAUACGGGAUAUUCUGGGUCUGUCUCAUGCUGGGUUUGGGAAAGUUGUUGUUUCGGUGGGGGAUGGGCUCGCGGCCUAUCAGCUUGUUGGUUGGGUGAUGGACUACCAAGGCGGGGACAGGUAGCCGGCCUGAGAGGGUGGACGGGCACACUGGGGAGGAGACACGGCCAAGACGGCUACGAGACGCAGCAGAGAGGAAUACUGGAGGAAGGGGGCGAGCCUAAUGCAGCGACGCCGAGUGAGUGAUGGAGGCCUUCGGGGUGUGAACCGCAUUCGCUAGUGAAGCAGGGCUGCCUCGUUUGUGAGGGUAUUGACGGUAGCUGGAUAAGAAGCGCCGGCUAACUACGUG
rnacentral:rRNA from 1 species